ensembl:lncRNA
CGUGACGUCUCCAUACCAACCUAGCGUGACGUCUCCAUACCAACCUAGUGUGACGUCUCCAUACCAACCUAGCGUGACAUCACUACCAACCUAGUGUAACGUCUCCAUACCAACCUAGCGUAACGUCUCCAUACCAACCUAGCGUAACGUCUCCAUACCAACCUAGUGUGACGUCUCCAUACCAACCUAGUGUGAUGUCUCCAUACCAACCAAGCGUGACAUCACUACCAACCUAGCGUGACGUCUCCAUACCAACCUAGUGUAACGUCUCGAUACCAACCUAGCUUAACGUCUCCAUAACAACCUAGCAAGACGUCUCCAUAACAACCUAGCAAGACGUCUCCAUACCAACCUAGCGUAACGUCUCCAUACCAACCUAGCGUGACGUCUCCAUACCAACCUAGCGUGACGUCUCCAUACCAACCUAGCGUGACGUCUCCAUACCAACCUAGCAUGACGUCUCCAUACCAACCUAGUGUGACAUCACUACCAACCUCUGAGACCACUAGGGCAGCAAGAUCCUUGUACGCUGAAGAGGAUGAGUUGGAAAGAUCUGGGGUGAACUGCUGGUUGAGACUGAACUGAAGACCCAAGGUUCCCACACUGGAAGGUGCAGGAGUGGCUGUCGGGGGGGUGGUUGAGGAGACAAUUGGAGCAGCAUUUGGGAGGGCCGUCGGUGGGGCAGUUGAUGCGACAGUCCGGGGGGCAGUCGGGGGGGCAGUUGGUGCGACGGUCGGGGGGGCAGUUGGUGCGACGGUCGGGGGGGCAGUUGGUGCGACGGUCGGGGGGGCAGUUGGUGCGACGGUCGGGGGGGCAGUUGGUGCGACGGUCGGGGGGGCAGUUGGUGCGACAGUCAGGGGGGCAGUUCCAUUGACAAGUAGUCUUGAUGUUGCUGUCACAUUGCUUUGACCUGAAGUUCCAUUGACAGGUGGUCUUGAUGUUGCUGUCACAUUGGUUUGACCUAAAAUUACAUUGACAGGUGGUCUUGAUGUUGCUGGCACAUUGAUUGAACCUGAAGUUACAUUCACAGGUGGUCUUGAUGUUGCUGGCACAUUGAUUGAACCUGAAGUUACAUUCACAGGUGGUCUUGAUGUUGCUGUCACAUUGGUUUGACCUGAAGUUACAUUGACAGGUGGUCUUGAUGUUGUGGUCACACUGAUUAGACCAGAAGUUACAUUGACAGGUGGUCUUGAUGUUGCUGUCACAUUGAUUGGACCUGAAGUAACAUUGACAGGUGGUCUUGAUGUUGCUGUCACAUUGAUUGGACGUGAAGUAACAUUGACAGGUGGUCUUGAUGUUGCUGUUACAUUGAUUGGACCUGAUGUAACAUUGACAGGUGGUCUUGAUGUUGCUGGCACAUUGAUUGAACCUGAAGUUACAUUCACAGGUGGUCUUGAUGUUGCUGUCACAUUGGUUUGACCUGAAGUUACAUUGACAGGUGGUCUUGAUGUUGUGGUCACACUGAUUAGACCAGAAGUUACAUUAACAGGUGGUCUUGAUGUUGCUGUCACAUUGAUUGGACCUGAUGUAACAUUGACAGGUGGUCUUGGUGUUGCUGUCACAUUGAUUGGACCUGAUGUAACAUUGACAGGUGGUCUUGAUGUUGCUGUCACAUUGAUUGGACCUGAUGUAACAUUGACAGGUGGUCUUGAUGUUGCUGUCACAUUGAUUGGACCUGAUGUAACAUUGACAGGUGGUCUUGAUGUUGCUGUCACAUUGAUUGGACCUGAUGUAACAUUGACAGGUGGUCUUGAUGUUGCUGGCACAUUGAUUGGACCUGAAGUUACAUUGACAGGAGGUCUUGAUGUUGCUGGCACAUUGUUUGGACCUGAAGUUACAUUGACAGGUGGUCUUGAUGUUGCUGGCACAUUGAUUGGACCUGAAGUAACAUUGACAGGUGGUCUUGAUGUUGCUGUUACAUUGAUUGGACCUGAAGUAACAUUGACAGGUGGUCUUGAUGUUGCUGUCACAUUGAUUGGACCUGAAGUAACAUUGACAGGUGGUCUUGAUGUUGCUGGCACAUUGAUUGGACCUGAAGUUACGUUGACAGGUGGUCUUGAUGUUGCUGUCACAUUGAUUGGACCUGAAGUUACAUUGACAGGUGGUCUUGAUGUUGCUGGCACAUUGAUUGAACCUGAAGUUACAUUGACAGGAGGUCUUGAUGUUGCUGUCACAUUGAUUGGACCUGAAGUUACAUUCACAGGUGGUCUUGAUGUUGCUGUCACAUUGAUUGGACCUGAAGUUACAUUGACAGGUGGUCUUGAUGUUGCUGGCACAAUGACUGGACCUGAAGUUACAUUGACAGGUGGUCUUGAUGUUGCUGUUACAUUGAUUGGACCUGAAGUUACAUUGACAGGUGGUCUUGAUGUUGCUGUUACAUUGAUUGGACCUGAAGUUACAUUGACAGGCGGUCUUGAUGUUGCUUUUACAAUGACUGGCCCUGAAGUUACAUUGACAGGUGGUCUUGAUGUUACUGUUACAUUUAUUGGACCUGAAGUUACAUUGACAGGCGGUCUUGAUGUUACUGUUACAUUGAUUGGACCUGAAGUUACAUUGACAGGCAGUCUUGAUGUUGCUGGCACAUUGAUUGAACCUGAAGUUACAUUCACAGGUGGUCUUGAUGUUGCUGUCACAUUGGUUUGACCUGAAGUUACAUUGACAGGUGGUCUUGAUGUUGCUGUUACAUUGAUUGGACCUGAAGUUACAUUGACAGGAGGUCUUGAUGUUGCUGGCACAUU